AAGACCUUGCGCUUUUGGAGCGGCCGAUGCCUGAUUAGCUUGUUGGUAAGGUAAAAGCUUACCAAGGCUUCGAUCAGUAGCUGGUCUGAGAGGACGGCCAGCCACACUGGGACUGAGACACGGCCCAGACUCCUACGGGAGGCAGCAGUGGGGAAUUUUGGACAAUGGGGGCAACCCUGAUCCAGCCAUGCCGCGUGAGUGAAGAAGGCCUUCGGGUUGUAAAGCUCUUUCAGCCGGAACGAAACGGUUACGGUUAAUAUCCGUGACUACUGACGGUACCGGAAGAAGAAGCACCGGCUAACUACGUGCCAGCAGCCGCGGUAAUACGUAGGGUGCGAGCGUUAAUCGGAAUUACUGGGCGUAAAGGGUGCGCAGGCGGUUUUGUAAGUCAGAUGUGAAAUCCCCGGGCUUAACCUGGGAACU
rnacentral:rRNA from 1 species